rnacentral:rRNA from 1 species
GAAAGACAAAGUAACCGUUCGAAUAAGGGCGGUACCUUGACGGUACCUUAACCAGAAAAGCCACGGCUAACUACGUGCCAGCAGCCGCGGUAAUACGUAGGUGGCAAGCGUUGUCCGGAAUUAUUGGGCGUAAAGGGCUCGCAGGCGGUUCCUUAAGUCUGAUGUGAAAGCCCCCGGCUCAACCGGGGAGGGUCAUUGGAAACUGGGGAACUUGAGUGCAGAAGAGGAGAGUGGAAUUCCACGUGUAGCGGUGAAAUGCGUAGAGAUGUGGAGGAACACCAGUGGCGAAGGCGACUCUCUGGUCUGUAACUGACGCUGAGGAGCGAAAGCGUGGGGAGCGAACAGGAUUAGAUACCCUGGUAGUCCACGCCGUAAACGAUGAGUGCUAAGUGUUAGGGGGUUUCCGCCCCUUAGUGCUGCAGCUAACGCAUUAAGCACUCCGCCUGGGGAGUACGGUCGCAAGACUGAAACUCAAAGGAAUUGACGGGGGCCCGCACAAGCGGUGGAGCAUGUGGUUUAAUUCGAAGCAACGCGAAGAACCUUACCAGGUCUUGACAUCCUCUGACAAUCCUAGAGAUAGGACGUCCCCUUCGGGGGCAGAGUGACAGGUGGUGCAUGGUUGUCGUCAGCUCGUGUCGUGAGAUGUUGGGUUAAGUCCCGCAACGAGCGCAACCCUUGAUCUUAGUUGCCAGCAUUCAGUUGGGCACUCUAAGGUGACUGCCGGUGACAAACCGGAGGAAGGUGGGGAUGACGUCAAAUCAUCAUGCCCCUUAUGACCUGGGCUACACACGUGCUACAAUGGACAGAACAAAGGGCAGCGAAACCGCGAGGUUAAGCCAAUCCCACAUUUCUGUUUUCACUUGGG